rnacentral:piRNA from 1 species
CAUUGGAACUGAAUUCUUUGUGUGU